CCUACGGGGGACUGCAGUAGGGAAUAUUGCUCAAUGGGGGAAACCCUGAAGCAGCAACGCCGCGUGGAGGAUGAAGGUUUUCUGAUUGUAAACUCCUUUUGUUAGAGAAGAUAAUGACGGUAUCUAACUCAUACGCACCGGCUCACUCCGUGCCAGCAGCCGCGGUAAUACGGAGGGUGCAAGCGUUACUCGGAUUCAGUGGGCGUAAAGAGCGCGUAGGCGGGAUAGUAAGUCAGAGGUGAAAUCCUAUGGCUUAACCAUAGAACUGCAUUUGAAACUGUUAGGCUAGAGUAUAGGCGGGGUAGGUGGAAUGCAUGGUGUAGCGGUAAAAUGCGUAGAGAUCAAAAGGAACACUGAUUGCGAAGGCGACCUGCCA
rnacentral:rRNA from 1 species